CAAAUAUAUAAGAUAGCGCAUUUCCUUCUUGCAGCGUUAGCACUCGUGUUUGAGCUAUUUGUAGCAACGUACACACGAUUUUUCUGUUCAUAUGUCGAUACCGAAACUGAAACUGAGGUGGUGGUGGCGCUAGUGUCGCCAACAUCGCCCUGUCGCUUUUUUUUUUUUCUUCGCAGACAUGGCGGCGUCCUGCAUUUCGUGUGUGCGUCGUAGUGUCGAGUUUUGUUCAUGCGGUCGACCUUUACUGCGUUACCUCGCAUUGUGUGUUCUGUGUUGCGGUUACUGAUGUAAGCGCAAGUUCUUCACUGAGUAUGAUCCGCGGCACCGUGCAAAUAGUCACCAGAUGCCGGCCGUGCGACUCCGUUCUCUGCGACUUCCUUUGUUCGGUGUGAUGGAGGGACGUGAUUCAUAGCUUUGGAGACCCUCUUUGCACCGUGCCCUCUUCAAACGUUUCCACGCAUCAGUGAGUAACAGCACCGCAAUCUUUACUCGACGGCACGCUCUGUGGGCCCAGAAAAUGCCUUGACGUUCGAGCAGUUCGGGAGCUAUACCGGCGGACAGCCGGAUGCGGGUAGCUUGGCCGUUCCUUGCUCUGCGCAUCGCUUGAAAACCGGCGGUCAUCCUGCAGUGUACGCUGCCAGCGUGCUUUCUUGCCAGAGCCACCUCCCCUGCUGGUGAUGACCAUAUGCAGCCAAUGCUGAUGUGAACCCGAGUGAUGAACAAAUGCAGAUCUGCAAAGGAGCUGUCCUGAGGCACCAUGCUUACUCAAGUCAUGCAGCGAGAGUCAGGUAAGUGUUAUGUUUCAC